UAACUGCGAGUGAAGCGGGAAAAGCUCAAAUUUAAAAUCUGGCGGUCCUUGGCUGUCCGAGUUGUAAUUUAGAGAAGCGUCUUCCGCGCUGGACCGUGCACAAGUCUCCUGGAAUGGAGCGUCAUAGAGGGUGAGAAUCCCGUCUUUGGCAUGGAUGCCCRGUGCUUCUGUGAUGCGCUCUCAAAGAGUCGAGUUGUUUGGGAAUGCAGCUCAAAAUGGGUGGUGAACUCCAUCUAAAGCUAAAUAUUGGCGAGAGACCGAUAGCGAACAAGUACCGUGAGGGAAAGAUGAAAAGCACUUUGGAAAGAGAGUGAAACAGUACGUGAAAUUGUUGAAAGGGAAACGCUUGAAGUCAGUCGCGUCGUCCGAGACUCAGCCUUGCCUCGGCUUGGUGUACUUCUCGGCUCGACGGGUCAGCAUGAAUUUUGCACCUCGGAUAAUGGCAAGGGAAAGGUGGCACCUUUGCGGGUGUGUUAUAGUCUCHUGUCGCAUGCGAGGGGUGAGAUUGAGGAACUCAGCGUGCGCCUUUGGUGUCGGGGCUUCGGCCCACGUAACGCGCUUAGGAUGCUGGCGUAAUGGCUUUAAACGACCCGUCUUGAAACACGGCCCAAGGAGUCCAACAUGCCCGCGAGUGUUCGGGUGGAAAACCCGUGCGCGUAAUAAAAGUGAAAGUUGGGACCUCUGUCGUGGAGGGCACCGACGCCCGGACCAGACCUUCUGUGACGGAUCUGCGGUAGAGCGUGUAUGUUGGGACCCGAAAGAUGGUGAACUAUGCCUGAAUAGGGUGAAGCCAGAGGAAACUCUGGUGGAGGCUCGUAGCGAUUCUGACGUGCAAAUCGAUCGUCAAAUUUGGGUAUA
rnacentral:rRNA from 1 species